UACGGAGGGUGCAAGCGUUAUCCGGAUUUACUGGGUUUAAAGGGUUCGUAGGUGGCCAACUAAGUCAUACGUGAAAUCCCUCAGCUUAACUGGGGAACUGCGUCUGAUACUGGUUGGCUUGAGUGCAGGAGAGGAACGCGGAAUUCCAGGUGUAGCGGUGAAAUGCGUAGAUAUCUGGAGGAACACCGGUGGCGAAGGCGGCGUUCUGGACUGCAACUGACACUGAGGAACGAAAGCCAGGGGAGCAAACGGG
rnacentral:rRNA from 1 species